UUGCCCUAGUAACGGCGAGUGAAGCGGCAACAGCUCAAAUUUGAAAUCUGGCUUCGGCCCGAGUUGUAAUUUGUAGAGGAUGCUUUGGGCGCGGCUCCAACUGAGUUCCCUGGAACGGGACGCCACAGAGGGUGAGAGCCCCGUAUAGUUGGAUGCCUAGCCUAUGUAAAGCUCCUUCGACGAGUCGAGUUGUUUGGGAAU
rnacentral:rRNA from 1 species